UUUUUGUUCGUGGCACAUUUGCAUGACGGUCCGCAAGCACAGCGUCCGCUCUGGGAUUGUGUGGCACAUUUGCAACCUGUAAAUUAAUUGAUUAUUUCCAUUAAAUUAAUAAAUUGUCAUUCGGCGUUUCAGCGCUUGAAAGUCGGAUUCAAUGAAAGUUAAUUAACUUAUGGAGAAAUUAAUGUAUUGAUGCUUAUUUUAUAUAGUUUUCCAUAUGGCCCUUUAAACACUAACCUUCUGCUGUACCGAAAAUAAAAGUGAAAAAAAGUCAACUUCGCUUUGUUCCCCAACAGUCAUUAAGUUCCUACUGGGUCAGUGCACUUGAAGUGGCAAUAACACAAAUACAUACAUACGAGUUGUCAAUGUGGCACUCAGCCAAAGAGCGGUAAUUGUGGCUGCGGCGCGGCUUGCAAGUGCUGUCCCUGCGGAAGCGGUUGCAAGUGCGGUUCACAAACUCAGAGUGGCAGCUGUGGUUGCGGCAGUGGCUGCAAAUGUGGACAAUAAAGAACACACAGCAACCAAUUUCUAAUAAUGUACCGUAAUGUUUCACAUUAAAAAUAAAUUUACUUAUGGCGAGAUAAA